GUGGGCAUAGCUCAGCGGUAGAGUGCAUGUUUAGCAUGCAUGAGGUCCUGGGUUCAAUCACCAGUACUUCCA
rnacentral:tRNA from 1 species